GUGCCAGCCGCCGCGGUAAUACGGAAGGUCCGGGCGUUAUCCGGAUUUAUUGGGUUUAAAGGGAGCGUAGGCGGGUGGCUAAGCGUGCUGUGAAAUCCGGCGGCUCAACCGUCGCGAGCAGCGCAACUGGCCGUCUUGAGUGCGCGGAGGCAGGCGGAAUUCGUGGUGUAGCGGUGAAAUGCUUAGAUAUCACGAAGAACCCCGAUUGCGAAGCAGCCUGCGUAGCGUUACUGACGCUGAAGCUCGAAGGUGCGGGUAUCGAACAGGAUUAGAUACCCUGGUAGUCCGCACGGUAAACGAUGGAUGCCCGCUGUCCGCGCCCGCCGCGGUGGCCAAGCGAAAGCGUUAAGCAUCCCACCUGGGGAGUACGCCGGCAACGGUGAAACUCAAAGGAAUUGACGGGGGCCCGCACAAGCGGAGGAACAUGUGGUUUAAUUCGAUGAUACGCGAGGAACCUUACCCGGGCUUGAAUUGCAGAGGAGGGGUCCGGAGACGGUCCCGCCCUUCGGGGCCUCUGUGAAGGUGCUGCAUGGUUGUCGUCAGUCGCGCCGUGAGGUGUCGGCUUAAGUGCCAUAACGAGCGCAACCCCUCUCCGUAGUUGCCAUCGGGUGAUGCCGGGCACUCUGCGGACACUGCCACCGCAAGGUGCGAGGAAGGUGGGGACGACGUCAAAUCAGCACGCCCUUACGUCCGGGGCUACACACGUGUUACAAUGGGGCAUACAGAGAGCCUGCCGCCGGCGACGUCGGCCGAAUCAAGAAAGUGCCCCUCAGUUCGGAUUGGGGUCUGCAACCCGACCCCAUGAAGCUGGAUUCGCUUAGUAAUCGCGCAUCAGCCAUGGCGCGGUGAAUACGUUCCCGGGCCUUGUACACACCGCCCGU
rnacentral:rRNA from 1 species